UACGAAGGGGGCUAGCGUUGCUCGGAAUCACUGGGCGUAAAGGGUGCGUAGGCGGGUCUUUUAAGUCAGGGGUGAAAUCCUGGAGCUCAACUCCAGAACUGCCUUUGAUACUGAAGAUCUUGAGUCCAGGAGAGGUGAGUGGAACUGCGAGUGUAGAGGUGAAAAUUCGUAGAUAUUCGCAAGAACACCAGUGGCGAAAGCGGCUCCUGGUCCAGCACCGACGUCAGGCACGAAAGCGUGGGGAGCAAACAGG
rnacentral:rRNA from 1 species